rnacentral:rRNA from 1 species
GGUGAACGCUGGCGGUAGGCCUAACACAUGCAAGUCGAACGGCAGCACAGUAAGAGCUUGCUCUUACGGGUGGCGAGUGGCGGACGGGUGAGGAAUACAUCGGAAUCUACUUUUUCGUGGGGGAUAACGUAGGGAAACUUACGCUAAUACCGCAUACGACCUACGGGUUAAAGCAGGGGAUCUUCGGACCUUGCGCGAUUCAAUGAGCCGAUGUCGGAUUAGCUAGUUGGCGGGGUAAAGGCCCACCAAGGCGACGAUCCGUAGCUGGUCUGAGAGGAUGAUCAGCCACACUGGAACUGAGACACGGUCCAGACUCCUACGGGAGGCAGCAGUGGGGAAUAUUGGACAAUGGGCGCAAGCCUGAUCCAGCCAUACCGCGUGAGUGAAGAAGGCCUUCGGGUUGUAAAGCCCUUUUGUUGGGAAAGAAAAGCAGCAGGUUAAUACCCCGCUGUUCUGACGGUACCCAAAGAAUAAGCACCGGCUAACUUCGUG